GAUGAACGCUGGCGGCGUGCCUAAUACAUGCAAGUCGAGCGAACGGACGAGAAGCUUGCUUCUCUGAUGUUAGCGGCGGACGGGUGAGUAACACGUGGAUAACCUACCUAUAAGACUGGGAUAACUUCGGGAAACCGGAGCUAAUACCGGAUAAUAUUUUGAACCGCAUGGUUCAAAAGUGAAAGACGGUCUUGCUGUCACUUAUAGAUGGAUCCGCGCUGCAUUAGCUAGUUGGUAAGGUAACGGCUUACCAAGGCAACGAUGCAUAGCCGACCUGAGAGGGUGAUAGGCCACACUGGAACGGAGACACGGUCCAGACUCCUAAGGGAGGCAGCAGUAGGGAAUCUUCCGCAAUGGGCGAAAGCCUGACGGAGCAACGCCGCGUGAGUGAUGAAGGUCUUCGGAUCGUAAAACUCUGUUAUUAGGGAAGAACAUAUGUGUAAGUAACUGUGCACAUCUUGACGGUACCUAAUCAGAAAGCCACGGCUAACUACGUG
rnacentral:rRNA from 1 species